AUUGAACGCUGGCGGCAGGCCUAACACAUGCAAGUCGAGCGGAUGAAGGGAGCUUGCUCCUGGAUUCAGCGGCGGACGGGUGAGUAAUGCCUAGGAAUCUGCCUGGUAGUGGGGGAUAACGUCCGGAAACGGGCGCUAAUACCGCAUACGUCCUGAGGGAGAAAGUGGGGGAUCUUCGGACCUCACGCUAUCAGAUGAGCCUAGGUCGGAUUAGCUAGUUGGUGGGGUAAAGGCCUACCAAGGCGACGAUCCGUAACUGGUCUGAGAGGAUGAUCAGUCACCCUGGACCUGGGCCACGUUCCCGCCUCCUACGGGAGGCAGCAGUGGGGAAUUUUGCCCAAUGGGCGAAAGCCUGUUCCAGCCAUGCCGCGUGUGUGAAGAAGGUCUUCGGAUUGUAAAGCACUUUAAGUUGGGAGGAAGGGCAGUAAGUUAAUCCCUUGCUGUUUUGCCGUUACCAACAGAAUAAGCCCCGGCUACCUUCGU
rnacentral:rRNA from 1 species